rnacentral:rRNA from 1 species
AUAGCGUAUAUUAAAGUUGUUGCGGUUAAAACGUUCGUAGUUGAACUUGUGCUUCAUACGGGUAGUGCAGCUAAUAAUUGUAGUUUGUACUAUACCUUAUGUAUGUAAGCGUAUUACCGGUGGAGUUCUUAUAUGUAUUAAAUACUUGUAUUUUUGCAUGUUCCUCCUAUUUAAACCUGCUUCAGUGCUCUUUAUCGAGUGUUGUUGUGGGCCGGUACAAUUACUUUGAACAAAUUAGAGUGCUUAAAGCAGGCUCCAAAUGCCUGAAUAUUUUGUGCAUGGAAUAAUGAAAUAAGACCUCUGUUCUACUUUCAUUGGUUAUUAGAUCAAGAGGUAAUGAUUAAUAGAAGCAGUUUGGGGGCAUUAGUAUUACGACGCGAGAGGUGAAAUUCUUGGACCGUCGUAAGACUAACUUAAG